UACGUAGGGACCAAGCGUUGUUCGGAUUUACUGGGCGUAAAGGGCGCGUAGGCGGCUUAACAAGUCACUUGUGAAAUCUCCGGGCUUAACUCGGAACGGCCAAGUGAAACUGUCAAGCUAGAGUGCAGAAGGGGCAAUCGGAAUUCUUGGUGUAGCGGUGAAAUGCGUAGAUAUCAAGAGGAACACCUGAGGUGAAGGCGGGUUGCUGGGCUGACACUGACGCUGAUGCGCGAAAGCCAGGGGAGCGAACGGG
rnacentral:rRNA from 1 species